rnacentral:rRNA from 1 species
UGGGGAAUAUUGCACAAUGGGCGAAAGCCUGAUGCAGCAACGCCGCGUGAGGGAAGACGGUUUUCGGAUUGUAAACCUCUGUUUUCGGUGACGAACAAAUGACGGUAACCGAGUAGGAAGCCACGGCUAACUACGUGCCAGCAGCCGCGGUAAUACGUAGGUGGCAAGCGUUGUCCGGAUUUACUGGGUGUAAAGGGCGUGUAGCCGGGUCUGCAAGUCAGAUGUGAAAUCCAUGGGCUUAACCCAUGAACUGCAUUUGAAACUGUGGAUCUUGAGUGCUGGAGGGGCAAUCGGAAUUCCUAGUGUAGCGGUGAAAUGCGUAGAUAUUAGGAGGAACACCAGUGGCGAAGGCGGAUUGCUGGACAGUAACUGACGGUGAGGCGCGAAAGUGUGGGGAGCAAACAGGAUUAGAUACCCUGGUAGU